rnacentral:rRNA from 1 species
CUUGGUCAUUUAGAGGAAGUAAAAGUCGUAACAAGGUUUCCGUAGGUGAACCUGCGGAAGGAUCAUUACAGAGUUCGUGCCCUCCCGGGUAGAUCUCCCACCCUUUGAAUACAUACCUCUGUUGCUUUGGCGGGCCACGUCCGCGUGCUGGCUCCGGCUAGCUGCGCCCGCCAGAGGACCCCAACUCGUUUGUUUAGUGAUGUCUGAGUACUAUAUAAUAGUUAAAACUUUCAACAACGGAUCUCUUGGUUCUGGCAUCGAUGAAGAACGCAGCGAAAUGCGAUAAGUAAUGUGAAUUGCAGAAUUCAGUGAAUCAUCGAAUCUUUGAACGCACAUUGCGCCCCUUGGUAUUCCGGGGGGCAUGCCUGUUCGAGCGUCAUUAUAACCCCUCAAGCUCAGCUUGGUGUUGGGGCCUGCCGUUUGGCAGCCCUUAAAAUCAGUGGCGGUGCCAUCUGGCUCUAAGCGUAGUAAUUCUUCUCGCUAUAGAGACCUGGUGGAUGCUUGCCAUCAACCCCCAAUUUUCCAUGGUUGACCUCGGAUCAGGUAGGGAUACCCGCUGAACUUAAGCAUAUCAAUAAGCGGAGGA